rnacentral:rRNA from 1 species
UACAGAGGUCCCAAGCGUUGUUCGGAUUCACUGGGCGUAAAGCGUGUGUAGGCGGGCCCGUAAGUGUCUUGUGAAAUCCCACGGCUCAACCGUGGAACUGCUGGGCAUACUGCGGGUCUUGGGCCAACUAGGGGCAGCCGGAACAAGCGGUGGAGCGGUGAAAUGCGUAGAUAUCGCUUGGAACGCCGAAGGUGAAAACAGGCUGCUGGGGUUGCGCCGACGCUGAGACACGAAAGCCAGGGGAGCAAACGGG